rfam:Rhodospirillum centenum SW, complete genome.
CCAGACGGCCGGAUGGCCGCCCUCCGGCAACGGGGAAACCCGCCGGGGGGAGGAAAGUCCGGGCUCCACGGAAGCACGGUGCCGGGUAACGCCCGGCGGGGGCGACCCCAGGGAAAGUGCCACAGAAAGCAAACCGCCCAUGAUCCCCGCCUCCGGGUGGGACGGCAUGGGCAAGGGUGAAAGGGUGCGGUAAGAGCGCACCGCGCCCCCGGCGACGGGGGUGGCAUGGUAAACCCCACCGGGAGCAAGACCGAAUAGGGGUGGCACGGCCGGGAAACCGGCCGAAGCGCGCUUCCGCGCAGCCGCCCGGGUGGGUCGCGUGAGGCGUCCGGCAACGGGCGUCCCAGAGGAAUGGCCAUCCCCCGGAUACCGUCCAGCCCGCUGGAUACGGUCCGGCGGACAGAACCCGGCUUACAGGCCGUCUGGCGUC